CAAGUGGCGCAUGGAGGCUCUGAAUUGCUCUGGCGUUUCUCAUAAGCUACACGGACUGCGUCUCAUUUACAUGCUGCUUUUCAGUGCCCUGUGAUGGACGGGCAGGCUGUACGUGGAGUUACCUGCUUCCCGUCGAUGUUGAUGCUGGAAACAGGCACCAGACCACCGUGUCCCAGCAAGGAUAAACUGUUCUCUACGUUUCAAGAAGCCUUCAUGCGCACGUCAACAUCUCCUCACUGUGAUAAUUGGGUCGUCCCUUCGGCUGAUUGUUGGACGCCCCUUUAAUUUUUGAAAGUGAGCACCACAGAAGAGCGUCAAGUUCUGCAGUCAUUACCAUUGCCCCCUCUCCUCUUUAGACACACACACACAGUCAUCUCUGGCUCUGGAGCCGAACCAUGCUAACACGCUAUUACACACCCUGCAGCUUUUAAUUCUCCCCAUGCACUGACGCAAGAGUUCAGUAUUGAUUUGUCCAUGUGAUGGUGGCUCUCGUAUUCAUUUCUCUAAUGACAAUUUGGGCGCGAUCGCACCACCAAGACAGUUAUUUUCAUCCGCACGGGUUUUUACAGGGAGAUCCGUUUUAAUCUUUGUGCCAGUAACCCGCCCUGUGUUCCCCCCACCCCUCUUUUUCUCCACUCCCAAGCUUACUGUUUAGCCAUGCUUCGAAAUCCCUCCUUCUGUGUUCACUGUCACCGUUUCUAAUCUGGCAACCCUAAGGGAGGUGGUAUCCAUACCUCAUUCCAGUCAUGCUCGCAUGCCUUUUCUCCUUCCGCUCAUCCCACUUGGGGGUAAAAUGGCUUUCUGAACACAUCAAAACCUCACAGGUCCAAUUCAGUAUUUGGUUUUUCAAUUGCCUCAUUCCAGCAAAACACUGAAAUUUAAGAGGUAGGAAUCCACCACUAAAAGCUAACUUUGCUUUCAAUCUCAAUUAAACAGCCCUUUGUCCUGCUGUUGCAGCUACUUUGCAUGAAACAGAUGUACACUUGCAGAUAAAAGGGCAAGAAGUAGUCACCUUCAUGCGGCUUUGUCAUAAGAGGAAAAACAAGGGUGGAAGAAAAUGAGCAAGGAGAUGAGAGGGAGAGAGUGAGACAAGGCAGCAAGUGCCGCUUUUCCUCCUGACUGAAUAAAACGCGAAAGAGACGUGAUUCACAGAGGAUUUGAAGAACUGCUAAUGAGCUAGGGGUUAAAUCAGAUACUGUAGCUGUGCUGAGGAACCUGAUUUCACUAUUAGCUAAGGGUUUUAGAGAAGGGUGGGUAAAAGUGGAGGGGGAAAAAAAGCAACAACAAAAAAAAGUCUCUUCCAACAAGUCGUUUGAUCUUUCUUUCAGUCUUAAACUUAUUUUCUGGAAUGCACAUUAGGGAUUUCAUAGAUGCUGGGAGAAAUGUUCCUCUUUUUAAGGAGGAUGAGGUGUUUGGCAGUGAAAGAAGUUCUUUGUUGCAUUCAGUUCCUGUAAUGCUUUUUAUUUAACCAGAACGGAGAGAGUGCUUAAUGAAAUGUUGCCUUGAAAGUGUCUCGGGGUUAGGUAUUUGGUGAAAGUGACACAAGCUUUGUUAGUCAUAAAAGGAGGAGAGAUUUUUAAUCAGGAUUGAAAAACGUUUGUUUGACGCACUUUAAUAGAAAACAUUUUUUUUUCUUUGCAUCUCCCUCUCCUGAGGUGCAGUCUGAAGUUUAAAUUCACUCACGCUUCUUGCAUUUCUCCAGUUUAUCUCCACACACUGGAAUAUUAUAAAUCAAAAAUAUUUCCUUCUCUUUUGUUUUACUGUGGCUGCUGCUGUCAAAUGGAUGUUGGCCCAUAUUCUGUUAUUUUCUCGGGCUUAUUAGCAAUUAUGUAUAGUGUCACUGGGAACAGAGUUUCGAAGCUUUUGGCAAGUUGUGAUGAACGAGCUCAGCAGUGAGCAGUUUGUGUUUAGAUAAUGAUGCUGUGCAGUUCAACUGCGAGACUCGAUUCAGCUGUCGCCCUCAAAUAUAAACCAUUUAAAUGUGAUUUACUUUGAGUUUUUCACUCUGGCUCUCGGAGUGAGUGGAAGCCUACUGAGACGUUUAAUGUUGUCAAAAUUUGAGAAAUAUUUUAAGUUGACAUGAACGUUAAUUAGGA